UUGGUACUCCCUCGGUCCGAAAUUACUUGUCGCAGAAAUGGAUAAAAAUGAAUGUAUCUAGAACUAAAAUAUGUCUACAUACAUCCAUUUCUCCGACAAGUAUUUCCGGACGGAGGGAGUACAUU
rnacentral:pre_miRNA from 1 species